rnacentral:rRNA from 1 species
AGGCGCAGCGAAGCGAGUCUUAAAAGGCGCAUGAGUUCGUUGGAUCAGACCGAACCAGGUGAUCUAGCCAUGAGCAGGAUGAAGGUUGGGUAACACCAACUGGAGGUCCGAACCAACACCCGUUGAAAAGGGUCUGGAUGACUUGUGGCUAAGGGGGUGAAAGGCUAAUCAAACCUGGAGAUAGCUGGUUCUCCGCGAAAGCUAUUUAGGUAGCGCCUCGGACGAAUACCAUCGGGGGUAGAGCACUGCAUGGGGUAAUGGGGUCCCACAGACUUACUGAGCCUAAGCAAACUCCGAAUACCGAUGAGUACUAUCCGGGAGACACACAUCGGGUGCUAACGUCCGGUGUGAAGAGGGGAAACAACCCUGACCUGCAGCUAAGGCCCCUAAUUCAUGGCUAAGUGGGAAAGCAUGUGGGACGGCCAAAACAACCAGGAGGUUGGCUUAGAAGCAGCCAUCCUUUAAAGAUAGCGUAACAGCUCACUGGUCUAGAUAAGCUGUCCUCGCGGCGAAGAUGUAUCGGGG